rnacentral:rRNA from 1 species
UACGUAGGGUGCAAGCGUUACCCGGAAUCACUGGGCGUAAAGCGUGCGCAGGCGGCUUUGCAAGACAGAUGUGAAAUCCCCGGGCUCAACCUGGGAACUGCAUUUGUGACUGCAAGGCUAGAGUACGGCAGAGGGGGAUGGAAUUCCGCGUGUAGCAGUGAAAUGCGUAGAUAUGCGGAGGAACACCAAUGGCGAAGGCAAUCCCCUGGGCCUGUACUGACGCUCAUGCACGAAAGCGUGGGGAGCAAACAGG